AGUGAACGCUGGCGGUAGGCCUAACACAUGCAAGUCGAACGGCAGCACAGUAAGAGCUUGCUCUUACGGGUGGCGAGUGGCGGACGGGUGAGGAAUACAUCGGAAUCUACUUUUUCGUGGGGGAUAACGUAGGGAAACUUACGCUAAUACCUCAUACGACCUACGGGUGAAAGCAGGGGAUCUUCGGACCUUGCGCGAUUGAAUGAGCCGAUGUCGGAUUAGCUAGUUGGCGGGGUAAAGGCCCACCAAGGCGACGAUCCGUAGCUGGUCGGAGAGGAUGAUCAGCCACACUGGAACUGAGACACGGUCCAGACUCCUACGGGAGGCAGCAGUGGGGAAUAUUGGACAAUGGGCGCAAGCCUGAUCCAGACAUACCGCGUGGGUGAAGAAGGCCUUCGGGUUGUAAAGCCCUUUUGUUGGGAAAGAAAAGCAGCAGGUUAAUACCCCGCUGUUCUGACGGUACCCAAAGAAUAAGCACCGGCUAACUUCGUG
rnacentral:rRNA from 1 species